CCUACGGGUGGCAGCAGUGAGGAAUGUUGGUCAAUGGGCGCGAGCCUGAACCAGCCAAGUCGCGUGAGGGAAGACGGCCCUACGGGUUGUAAACCUCUUUUGCCGGGGAGCAACGGGCGCCACGUGUGUCGCCACUGCGAGUACCUGGAGAAAAAGCAUCGGCUAACUCCGUGCCAGCAGCCGCGGUAAUACGGAGGUUGCGAGCGUUAUCCGGAUUUAUUGGGUUUAAAGGGUGCGUAGGCGGAGCGUUAAGUCAGUGGUCAAAUUGAGGGGCUCAACCCCUUCCCGCCAUUGAAACUGGCGCUCUUGAGUGGAAGAGAAGUAUGCGGAAUGCGUGGGGUAGCGGUGAAAUGCAUAGAUAUCACGCAGAACCCCGAUUGCGAAGGCAGCAUGCCGGCAUCCUACUGACGCUGAAGCACGAAAGCGUGGGGAUCAAACAGGAUUAGAUACCCUUGUAGUC
rnacentral:rRNA from 1 species